UUCGUUUUGUCCCAUCGUGAUCUUGAAUGCUAGUAGUACUCCAUAUCACAAAAAAACGUAGUAUUAUGUGAAUAGCCAGAUUCCACUUCACUUCUACUUCAUUUUCAGCCCUAAUUUGAGUUUAAGUUGGGAAUUAAGUAAUAAUGGGGAGGAGGAAACUCAAGAUCGAGAAAAUCCAAGACAAAAGCUCACGACAGGUUACCUUCUCCAAGCGAAGAAAUGCGAUUUGGAUAUUGCCCUCAUUAUCUAUUCCUCUCCGAUCAGUACUGCACCACUCACAGGUGACUUUUGGUUUCCACUACAAUUGCCUAUAUUUCCUUUCUAGGCUUUGAGAAGAUAUUUUACUAGCUAACUAGUACUAGUAGUUUAUUACUGCCACUUGAUUUAUAAUGGGUAAGUAGUGCAAUGUGCUUAUUUAUACUAGUUUUUUUCUCUCA